rnacentral:rRNA from 1 species
AUACGGAGGGUGCAAGCGUUACUCGGAAUCACUGGGCGUAAAGCGCGCGCAGGCGGCUUGAUAAGUUGGAUGUGAAAGCCUACGGCUCAACCGUAGAACUGCAUCCAAAACUGUCAAGCUAGAGUCUGGGAGGGGAAGAUGGAAUUAGUUGUGUAGGGGUAAAGUCCGUAGAGAUAACUAGGAAUACCAAAAGCGAAGGCAAUCUUCUGGAACACUACUGACGCUGAGGCGCGAAGGCGUGGGGAGCAAACAGGAUUAGAAACCCCAGUAGUCC